UGACCGAUAGUGAACCAGUACCGUGAGGGAAAGGUGAAAAGCACCCCGGAAGGGGAGUGAAAUAGAACCUGAAACCGUGUGCUUACAAGUAGUCAGAGCCCGUUAAUGGGUGAUGGCGUGCCUUUUGUAGAAUGAACCGGCGAGUUACGAUUUGAUGCAAGGUUAAGCAGUAAAUGUGGAGCCGUAGCGAAAGCGAGUCUGAAUAGGGCGUUUAGUAUUUGGUCGUAGACCCGAAACCAGGUGAUCUACCCUUGGUCAGGUUGAAGUUCAGGUAACACUGAAUGGAGGACCGAACCGACUUACGUUGAAAAGUGAGCGGAUGAACUGAGGGUAGCGGAGAAAUUCCAAUCGAACCUGGAGAUAGCUGGUUCUCUCCGAAAUAGCUUUAGGGCUAGCCUCAAGUGAUGAUUAUUGGAGGUAGAGCACUGUUUGGACGAGGGGCCCCUCUCGGGUUACCGAAUUCAGACAAACUCCGAAUGCCAAUUAAUUUAACUUGGGAGUCAGAACAUGGGUGAUAAGGUCCGUGUUCGAAAGGGAAACAGCCCAGACCACCAGCUAAGGUCCCAAAAUAUAUGUUAAGUGGAAAAGGAUGUGGCGUUGCCCAGACAACUAGGAUGUUGGCUUAGAAGCAGCCAUCAUUUAAAGAGUGCGUAAUAGCUCACUAGUCGAGUGACACUGCGCCGAAAAUGUACCGGGGCUAAACAUAUUACCGAAGCUGUGGAUUGUCCUUUGGACAAUGGUAGGAGAGCGUUCUAAGGGCGUUGAAGCAUGAUCGUAAGGACAUGUGGAGCGCUUAGAAGUGAGAAUGCCGGUGUGAGUAGCGAAAGACGGGUGAGAAUCCCGUCCACCGAUUGACUAAGGUUUCCAGAGGAAGGCUCGUCCGCUCUGGGUUAGUCGGGUCCUAAGCUGAGGCCGACAGGCGUAGGCGAUGGAUAACAGGUUGAUAUUCCUGUACCACCUAUAAUCGUUUUAAUCGAUGGGGGGACGCAGUAGGAUAGGCGAAGCGUGCGAUUGGAUUGCACGUCUAAGCAGUAAGGCUGAGUAUUAGGCAAAUCCGGUACUCGUUAAGGCUGAGCUGUGAUGGGGAGAAGACAUUGUGUCUUCGAGUCGUUGAUUUCACACUGCCGAGAAAAGCCUCUAGAUAGAAAAUAGGUGCCCGUACCGCAAACCGACACAGGUAGUCAAGAUGAGAAUUCUAAGGUGAGCGAGCGAACUCUCGUUAAGGAACUCGGCAAAAUGACCCCGUAACUUCGGGAGAAGGGGUGCUCUUUAGGGUUAACGCCCAGAAGAGCCGCAGUGAAUAGGCCCAAGCGACUGUUUAUCAAAAACACAGGUCUCUGCUAAACCGUAAGGUGAUGUAUAGGGGCUGACGCCUGCCCGGUGCUGGAAGGUUAAGAGGAGUGGUUAGCUUCUGCGAAGCUACGAAUCGAAGCCCCAGUAAACGGCGGCCGUAACUAUAACGGUCCUAAGGUAGCGAAAUUCCUUGUCGGGUAAGUUCCGACCCGCACGAAAGGCGUAACGAUUUGGGCACUGUCUCAACGAGAGACUCGGUGAAAUCAUAGUACCUGUGAAGAUGCAGGUUACCCGCGACAGGACGGAAAGACCCCGUGGAGCUUUACUGUAGCCUGAUAUUGAAAUUCGGCACAGCUUGUACAGGAUAGGUAGGAGCCUUUGAAACGUGAGCGCUAGCUUACGUGGAGGCGCUGGUGGGAUACUACCCUAGCUGUGUUGGCUUUCUAACCCGCACCACUUAUCGUGGUGGGAGACAGUGUCAGGCGGGCAGUUUGACUGGGGCGGUCGCCUCCUAAAAGGUAACGGAGGCGCUCAAAGGUUCCCUCAGAAUGGUUGGAAAUCAUUCAUAGAGUGUAAAGGCAUAAGGGAGCUUGACUGCGAGACCUACAAGUCGAGCAGGGUCGAAAGACGGACUUAGUGAUCCGGUGGUUCCGCAUGGAAGGGCCAUCGCUCAACGGAUAAAAGCUACCCCGGGGAUAACAGGCUUAUCUCCCCCAAGAGUUCACAUCGACGGGGAGGUUUGGCACCUCGAUGUCGGCUCAUCGCAUCCUGGGGCUGUAGUCGGUCCCAAGGGUUGGGCUGUUCGCCCAUUAAAGCGGUACGCGAGCUGGGUUCAGAACGUCGUGAGACAGUUCGGUCCCUAUCCGUCGUGGGCGUAGGAAAUUUGAGAGGAGCUGUCCUUAGUACGAGAGGACCGGGAUGGACAUACCUCUGGUGUACCAGUUGUCGUGCCAACGGCAUAGCUGGGUAGCUAUGUGUGGACGGGAUAAGUGCUGAAAGCAUCUAAGCAUGAAGCCCCCCUCAAGAUGAGAUUUCCCAACUUCGGUUAU
rnacentral:rRNA from 1 species